rnacentral:ncRNA from 2 species
AAUAAAGACUAGGGGUGCCAAUCCGUUGGCUGAGAAAAAGGUAAAACUUUUACCCUUGAACCUGAUCUGGGUUACACCAGCGUAGGAAAGUCGUCGAUCAAAUGC